rnacentral:rRNA from 1 species
CGGCGAACGGGUGAGUAACGCGUGGAUAACCUGCCCAGAGGUGGGGGAUAACCCGGGGAAACUCGGGCUAAUACCGCAUAUGACCGUGAGGUCAAAGGGGGCUCGCAAGAGCUCUCGCCAUUGGAGGGGUCCGCGUACGAUUAGCUAGUUGGUAGGGUAAUGGCCUACCAAGGCGACGAUCGUUAGCCGGCCUGAGAGGGUGAUCGGCCACACUGGAACUGAGACACGGUCCAG